AGACAUCCAAAGUAUAUGACUUCUCCUCAUCGGUUAAUUCAACCAUAGCAUCCACUUGAUCAACACACUUCUCAACUAAAAAUUCUUCCUCAUGCCUUUUCCUUUUUUCAAGAGCUUGCAAAGUUUUGCUGGUUUGGCUCUUUUUGUACUCCACAUAUCCCUCAAGAGCAGAUCCAAUGUGACUUUGCUUAUGCUUUCUCCCACUUCCACCUUCUUCCUAUCUUGAAUCUUGAGCUUCA
rnacentral:lncRNA from 1 species